GGCGGUUUGGCCGAGUGGUUAAGGCGAUUGAGUAUGUUAUUCUGCUUAUAAAAAUAAACCCAACACCAACUAACAGUUCCUUCAGUUCGAAAUCAAUUCCGUUCGCGGGCGCAUGUUCGAAUCAUGCAGCCGUCG
rnacentral:tRNA from 1 species